GACGAACGCUGGCGGCGUGCUUAACACAUGCAAGUCGAACGGAAAGGCCCAGCUUGCUGGGUACUCGAGUGGCGAACGGGUGAGUAACACGUGGGUGAUCUGCCCUGGACUCUGGGAUAAGCCUGGGAAACUGGGUCUAAUACCGGAUAUGACCUUACAUCGCACGGUGUUUGGUGGAAAGCUUUUGCGGUUCAGGAUGGGCCCGCGGCCUAUCAGCUUGUUGGUGGGGUAAUGGCCUACCAAGGCGACGACGGGUAGCCGACCUGAGAGGGUGAUCGGCCACACUGGGACUGAGACACGGCCCAGACUCCUACGGGAGGCAGCAGUGGGGAAUAUUGCACAAUGGGCGCAAGCCUGAUGCAGCGACGCCGCGUGAGGGAUGACGGCCUUCGGGUUGUAAACCUCUUUCACCAGGGACGAAGCGUGAGUGACGGUACCUGGAGAAGAAGCACCGGCCAACUACGUG
rnacentral:rRNA from 1 species